rnacentral:rRNA from 1 species
GACGAACGCUGGCGGCGUGCCUAAUACAUGCAAGUAGAACGCUGAAGAGAGGAGCUUGCUCUUCUUGGAUGAGUUGCGAACGGGUGAGUAACGCGUAGGUAACCUGCCUGGUAGCGGGGGAUAACUAUUGGAAACGAUAGCUAAUACCGCAUAAAAUUGAUUAUUGCAUGAUAAUUAAUUGAAAGAUGCAACUGCAUCACUACCAGAUGGACCUGCGUUGUAUUAGCUAGUUGGUGAGGUAACGGCUCACCAAGGCGACGAUACAUGGCCGACCUGAGAGGGUGAUCGGCCACACUGGGACUGAGACACGGCCCAGACUCCUACGGGAGGCAGCAGUAGGGAAGCUUCGGCAAUGGGGGGAACCCUGACCGAGCAACGCCGCGGGAGUGAAGAAGGUUGUCGGAUCGUAAAGCUCUGUUGUAAGAGAAGAACGGGUGUGAGAGUGGAAAGUUCACACUGUGACGGUAGCUUACCAGAAAGGGACGGCUAACUACGUG